CUGGACUCAAUCAAACAAGCAACGGCUGAGUGGUGACGGGGCUAAACUCAUGUCCUCAGGUUCAACCCAAGUUUAAGAGAAGUGGAUUUGAGUGGCUGGUGCAUGCCUCAGCUGCACACUGCAGGUCUGAGCCAAAAGCCAGUGGUUGUGUGAUUCCAGGCUCAUGGAAAUCCGGGGUGAUUCCACCAGGUCCUGUUGCAUGUGAAGGAAGACAGAUGGUGCUGAGCUUGCCUUCUUCUGGAUUAUUUCCCCCUCCUCAUGCUGGAACAGAACCAAUGCAGAGUUACAGUUCCAGGAGUCAAAGACACAUAGGGCAGAGCCUUUUGACACACAUGUACUUGUCACAACUGGAGGCAUGCCAAGUCAAAAGCACAAGCUGCUGAAGCUUAACCUAAUCAUCAUAAUUCUGCAGCAGUUCAUAAACUAUCAAACACAUCCACAGGGGAGCUGAAAAGUACCAGGAAUUUAUGACUUGACACAUUUCUUCACAAGAACUUAUCUCCAACUUUGCUAAUCCAAAGGUCUGGAGAACACGCAGGUAAGCAGCUGAAGCGCAAACCUGCAGCUCUCUGGAAGUUUGUCUUUGGGAGGAUGCUCAGGAAGCAGCAUUAAUUGGUUGCUGUUUUGCCUCUUUUCUUUGUUGGAUUGCCUGUUAAUUCAAGGCCCAUGGCCAUGCCAUAACCACUUUUAUUGAGCUUUUUCAAGGAAGUCCCAGCGAAAACCUUUUUGUCAUUCAGGCAAUGAAGGAGACUGCCUCCCAGCACUGCAACUAGCAUCAGAGCACCCUGAAAUCUAUCAGUGCUAAUUAGGGCCUACUUAAAGGCUCCCAGGCUGCUGCUGCUGGUUUGAAAUGCAGAGUGGUGUGUGAAAGCCUUUCUGCUUGGCUCCUGACAGGAGCAAAAGCAAACAACAGGCCCUGCUGUGACCUCCAUUUACAAGACUCAUUUACUGCACCGAAGGCAUCAACUUCUUGGAAAUCAAACAGACAAAUUAGUUUUGAACCCCUAUGGGUUAAGAUGGACUUCUCACUGGGACACGCUCCUGCCUGGCUGGCUAAAUGCUUCCUAAAUCUGUGCAGCUGUGGAGUUUCUUCAGGUGCCGCUCCCUGGCACCAGGUGGGUGCCAGCAGUCCUGUAACUAAAAUCAUCACAAUUUUCAGCUAGCAUUAACCAUUUCCUUCGAAUGAAGGCGGAAUCCUGAGCUCUGCCCCUGCUCCCCAUGAUACAAGAGCUUUGUCCAGUGAUGCUUUACGUGGUGUGCCCCACAACUCUUUGCAUGCAUUCUAAACCCCUCUCUUUGAGGGAAGAAAAGGUCUCUAUUUUAUCCCUGUUCUUGGCUCCAUAGGACUCCAGAGCAAUCUGCCCAUUUCCAGUUAAGUCCACC
rnacentral:lncRNA from 1 species